rnacentral:rRNA from 1 species
UACAGAGGUCCCGAGCGUUGUUCGGAUUCAUUGGGCGUAAAGGGUGCGUAGGCGGCGGGGCAAGUCUGAUGUGAAAUCCCGGGGCUCAACCCUGGAACUGCAUUGGAUACUGCCUUGCUAGAGUACUGGAGAGGAAACUGGAAUUUACGGUGUAGCAGUGAAAUGCGUAGAUAUCGUAAGGAAGACCAGUGGCGAAGGCGGGUCUCUGGACAGUUCCUGACGCUGAGGCACGAAGGCCAGGGGAGCAAACGGG